rnacentral:misc_RNA from 1 species
AAAAGAUAAAAAUUAUAAGGAGGGUGAGAUUGUGCUUAGCUUUGAGUUCCCAGUUGGUGAAUUCUGUAUCAUACCAUCAAAGAUGAUAAUGAGAAAAAUUGAACCAGUAGAAGGGAUAACUCCCCCACACUACCUUAGUUGCAUUGGGAUAGCUGGGUUUGCAGCCUGGGUGGGGAUAGAGGUGAUAGGAGAGCCAAAGGCAGGGUCUAAUGUGUUCAUCUCAGCUGCAGCUGGUGGCGUUGGAAUGGUUGCUGGACAAUUGGCAAAGCUUAAGGGUUGCAGAGUCAUUGGUAGUGCUGGAUCUGAUGAUAAGAUAAAGCUUUUAAAGGAGGAAUUUGGAUAUGAUGAUGCUUUCAACUACAACAAAGAAACAGAUUUUGAUGCAGCUUUGAGCAAGUACUUCCCAGAAGGGAUUGAUUUAUACUUGGAUAACGUCGGUGGUAGCAUGCUAGAGGCAGUCCUCAACCAUGUCAAUAAUCAUGCAAGAAUCCCACUCUGCGGAAUGAUUUCUCAGUAUAAUAAGGAUUG